ACUCAAAGGAAUUGACGGGGGCCCGCACAAGCGGUGGAGCAUGUGGUUCAAUUCGAAGCAACGCGAAGAACCUUACCAGCUCUUGACAUGCCUCGUAUGGUCGCUGGAGACAGCUUCCUUCCCGCAAGGGGCGAGUGCACAGGUGCUGCAUGGCUGUCGUCAGCUCGUGUCGUGAGAUGUUGGGUUAAGUCCCGCAACGAGCGCAACCCUCGCCCUUAGUUGCCAUCAUUUAGUUGGGCACUCUAAGGGGACUGCCGGUGAUAAGCCGGAGGAAGGUGGGGAUGACGUCAAGUCCUCAUGGCCCUUACGGGCUGGGCUACACACGUGCUACAAUGGCGGUGACAGAGGGAUGCAAAGGAGCGAUCCUUCGCAAAUCUCAAAAAGCCGUCUCAGUUCGGAUUGGGGUCUGCAACUCGACCCCAUGAAGUUGGAAUCGCUAGUAAUCGUGGAUCAGCACGCCACGGUGAAUACGUUCCCGGGCCUUGUACACACCGCCCGU
rnacentral:rRNA from 1 species